AACGAACGCUGGCGGCGCGCCUAACACAUGCAAGUCGAACGAGAAUCCGGGGCAACCCGGUAGUAAAGUGGCAAACGGGUGAGGAAUACAUGGGUAACCUACCCUUGAGAAGGGAAUAACCCGCCGAAAGGUGAGCUAAUACCCUAUACGCUAUCUUUUUUUCGAAAAGGAUAGGAAAGCCGGGUCGAGGACCUGGUACUCAAGGAGGGGCUCAUGUCCUAUCAGCUUGUUGGUGGGGUAACGGCCUACCAAGGCUACGACGGGUAGCUGGUCUGAGAGGAUGAUCAGCCACACUGGCACUGAGAUACGGGCCAGACUCCUACGGGAGGCAGCAGUGAGGAAUAUUGCGCAAUGGGCGAAAGCCUGACGCAGCGACGCCGCGUGGGGGAUGAAGGUUUUCGGAUUGUAAACCCCUUUCAUGAGGAAGAUAAAGUGGGUAACCACUUAGACGGUACCUCAAGAAGAAGCCACGGCUAACUUCGUGCCAGCAGCCGCAGUAAAGUCGUACG
rnacentral:rRNA from 1 species